rnacentral:rRNA from 1 species
AACGAACGCUGGCGGCAUGCCUAACACAUGCAAGUCGAACGAGACCUUCGGGUCUAGUGGCGCACGGGUGCGUAACGCGUGGGAACCUGCCCUUAGGUUCGGAAUAACUCCCCGAAAGGGGUGCUAAUACCGGAUAAUGUCUUCGGACCAAAGAUUUAUGGCCUUGGGAUGGGCCCGCGUUGGAUUAGCUAGUUGGUAGGGUAAAAGCCUACCAAGGCGACGAUCCAGAGCUGGUCUGAGAGGAUGAUCAGCCACACUGGGACUGAGACCCGGCCCAGACUCCUACGGGAGGCAGCAGUGGGGAAUAUUGGACGAUGGGCGAAAGCCUGAUCCAGCCAUGCCGCGUGAGUGAUGAAGGCCUUAGGGUUGUAAAGCUCUUUUACCCGGGAUGAUAAUGACAGUACCGGGAGAAUAAGCUCCGGCUAACUCCGUG